rnacentral:misc_RNA from 1 species
CGCAUACAUAUUAUCGGGAAAUAAUUGCGAGGUACACGUGCACCUCUCUCCAAACCAUGCCAGCGCAGCCCUGUUUAAAACCGGUCGGGUUUUUUAUUUGUCGGCUAUGCAAUCAAUUCACGCCGGUUCAAUCUGAGUUUCUCAAAAAUAGAAUUUAAGAGUUAAACUGAGCCACACCAAAUCAUGAUUCCCAAUCGAAGCAGUCCGACCAACAGGUCCGGUUUCAAAACACAGCUUCCAUCCACUUUCUUUUAAAGCAAGCCAGCAUUCACCCAAAAUCAAACAAAAUUACAAAAUAAACCUUAAAAAAAAAAAACCAUCAAUCCAAAUUCCCAAAUGGUCUUCAGCGUGCAAAGCAAGUUGAUACCAAAGCGACUAGGGACGUUAGUUGCCAAGGACUGAGGGAAGGCAGUAAUUGCCGGUGCAAACCACAGUCCAUAUCAAGGCUUUCUUCUUGCAUGCCUUGCUUUAAUGGUGAACCAGAGGACUCUCUCUCUGCGCCGCCAUUAUCAUUGGUGAGGGACUACAACGUUUUUAUUUCUUGUACAGUUUGAUUAUUUGGGAAGUGAAUGUCAAUAUUAAGGCUAUUAUUAUAGAUAGAAGACAUAGAUAAUGGAAUUAUUGAUAGAUAGAUAUUAUAGAUUAACUAAUAAACAUCGAUUAAAGCAAGCGAAGGAAAACAAUAAACCCAAAUAUGGGUCGAGGCUGUCCGAUGGGCAUUCCAAAUGGCAUGGUUGUUCUAGCACCAAAACCCAAGAAUUGGUAUCACAAAUUCUACUUAAAUAAAUUGCUUUAGAAACUCUGUAGCAACCAAUCUCCCUCGCGUGUUCACAGACAUUUUUAAUUCGCUUAUCUCUUUAUCAAUAUCCUGCAAUUCAAGAAGUGAUUAGAAAAGCUCCCAACUGAAAAAUGCUAGAGAACAAUUUCUAAAGCAAAAAUAAUUCAACUUAGUGAAUUAGAUCUUCCAUACAGAUGAACUUAAUUCUAACAAAAAUAAUCAUAUGCCGGUCACAAGUCACCACUUUAACCCAAGUUGGAGGGCUUUGAAUACAUUCAACAGUUUACCCAUAACCAAGUUCAGAAGUAGAGAAUCAUUUUUCCAAAGUAUCAUUAUAAAAAUCCAAAACUCCCAAUUUCCAAUGACAUAUUUAGCUAACACUAAAUAACAGCAAAAACGUAAUCGUAUACCCAAGUUGCAGACACUAGUAUAGAACCUUGCACACCCAAUUUGAUGUGUUCAGUGUGGUGGAAGAAGGAAGGCAUGGUUUUAUAAGGAUUAAGGAAUAUAAAGGGUUGAAUUUCACCAUGUGCACAAACAAAUCAUAAUUUAACAUAUGAAGCCAUCUUUUUAUCAAAAAUCAAGUAGAAAAGGAAAAGGCAAGUAACAAGGCCUAGUAAAAUCCUUACUUCCAUGAAUUGAACAAUAAAAUCAAUGAGUUUUUGUUUCUGCAUCUCCUCACAAUGGUAGUUUGUGAUGAGAAAGCUAAUGUCAUAACCCUGCUCACAAAGACAAUAAAUAGUUAUUGGCAGCUUACAAUAUUAUAAAGCCUCUUCACAAAACAUAAGGGUAUACUUAAACUUGCAUGCCACACACAAGGUUUUUGACAAGAGUGCAGGCAAUAAAAAGCAUCUUUCACCAGCAUUGAACUAAAUACCUAACAUAAUCAACUGUAUCUGAACGAUUCUAAUGAGCAUGAAAUUACCUUAUCAUAGCCAAUAAUUGCAAUUUCUCCAUUGCCAAGAGAAAACAAGGUCCACUGGACCCAACUCAUGAAGCAAUGAAACGGUUGUUUGAUAAAGAGACACAAAGGUAUGAUUAUGCCACUCUGGCUCUAUGAAUGCUUAUUUCUAAUUACAAUUGCUUUUUCUCCCUUCUCUAUCCAGUGAAGCCAUUAGCAAAUUUAUAGCUGGUUGCCACAUCAGAGUUCCAAGUCUAUAUAUGGUUUCAGUGAAAAUUAAGAGAAAAUUGAAGGUUAGUUUUUAAGUUACAAAUUGAAAUUUAGUAGAAAAGAUGAAAUAAUGUGAUCAUUAGUGAAAUUUACUAGCACCAAUUAAAGAAAACAUUAACCAAAACAAAGGGAUUCUGUUUCCUACAACUAGAAGUCUAGAAUUCAUGCCAACAUUGCAACAGUAGAACUAUAAAGCCCUCAUAACUCAGAAAAUAAUUACAGAAGUAACUAACAAUCACUUGCCUUUGUCAAGCAAAAAGUAUAUUCUCAUUUCAUUUCACUGAGAUAAGACCAUGCAUACCUGUAUUGGUUUUCGCCUUAACACUUGAAAUGCUUCUGCUCUCAUUGACAGAAAUCGAAGAAAUUUUUUAGUUAAUAUGUUUUCCAGCUCAUCUGCCUGUUUUACCUACACAACAGGAAAGGAAUAAGCAAACAAGAAGAAAAUCACAGAAAGAUCACAAUUAGAUGCAUUUCUAUGGCACCAUAUGCACAUCCAAUUCUGGUAGAUAAAGUAAAACUAUAUAUGAAACUAAGCGGAAUGGAAAUUGUACUAUCUAUAAUUCUAUUGUCAGGUAUUAAUGUUUCCCAUUUGAGGUGUCAUAAAAGAGUUUGCUUGAAUAAAAAGCAUAUGAACCUGAUUUAGCACAAAAUAUUCCAUCUAAUAAGCAAUGAAAAUUACCAGAGUCCACAGACACCAAAAAAGUGCAACCAAGUAGAAAAACAAAGAAACAUUUACAAAAGAGAGUACCAACAACUUCUCAAGUAGCAACUAGAUCAACAAAAGAUUAUUGGUUAAGCCAAAAACAUAGAGAAACCAAUUAUUUGUGAUAGCAGGAAGAAACUUUUCAUGCUUACGAAUCUGUUACUCAAUUCCUCCAAACUAGGCAAAACCUAGCAAGAUUAAAACAGGAGUUAUCUACUAUCUUGAAUUUUGACACUAUGAGAAUUAUGACACUUAUUGCAAAUUUCCAAUUGAAACCUAAAUACUUCUAAUAUUCAGCAUUCUGCAUUCUCCAAAGCAUUUUAUCCAGAACAUUAAAAAAGCACACGGGCUUACUGAUAUAUUCAUACACCAAAGCAUGAAAGGAAAUUAUAUUAUUAUCAUGGCUCUCAGAGAUUUCCGCUGUUCUAUAGGUAAAGAAUAUAAAAAACAUCAUUUUUCAACAUCUAGUUCAAUAGGUGAAAGCAUCGUUAACAUGUUUUACUUACCUUAAGGCUUAUACGGAGUGAAUUGAUGGAAGUUUCUAUUAAGCAUUUUUCAGCCUCAUUUCGACAAAUCAAAAUAGGAUUGAGGAGAAGUACUGGGCUCGUCUUGAGUUCAACCUCUGGCUUAUUAUGCCUUUCAACUUCUUGACAGGGGAAAUUCUGUUCAAUUCGCAGAACCCUGAACAGAAGCCGUUUUCGGUUCAGUGAACAGGGCAGGAUAUGCGCACAUCUCUGGUUUUUUUCCAUCUUCCAUUUUCGUCACCAUGUAUCUGCUCUUGGUUUUUCAGUUCUUGAAGAUAGAGUAAUAGUGUAAAUGCCAAUGUUUGUCUCGCCAUGAUAAAGCAGAGGCCUGCUUCUUGUUACUCCUACUUCAGAACCACAAAGAGAGCGAUGGUAAUAUGUACUGUCCCUCUACAACCGCCACCAAUUCCCAAAAAUCUAAACAACCAUAAUUCUCUCUGCCUCUCCUUGGCCGAUGACCUCCUUCGACGCGGCCGCUUAUCUUUGGCCCAGCAAGUUAUCCAGAGAAUCAUUGCCCAUUCUCCCACCGUCUCUGAUGCUAUCUCCGCUGUUGAUUUCGCUGCUGGCCGUGGGAUGGAGCUUGGUGUCGGUAUUUAUGGUGCCUUCGUUAGGAGAUUGAUAGAAUUGGGUCAGUCCAAGCUGGCCUACGCUGUCUACUGUGAUAAUGUAAUUGCUAAAGGUAUUGACCUGGACUCUGGUAUUAUUAAUUCCAUGGUUAUUUGCUUGGUUAAGUUGGGGAAAUUAGAGGAUGCAGGUAUUUUUUUUUAUAACCUUAUUGGAAGUGGUAGUGUGCCCUGUCAAGCUGCUUGUAAUGCUCUUUUUAGAGAGUUUUGUAUGCAAGAGAUGUUUUUGGAGGCGUUUGAUUGUUUGGUUAGCAUUAGCAAGGCUAAGAUAAGGUUGGGCAUGCGGUGUUACAAUGUUUUGAUUGAUGGAUUGUGUUAUAAAGGGCAGGUAGGUGAAGCAAUGAAAGUUUUCGAUAUAAUGCGUGAAAGAACUGGAUUCUUGCCAACUCUUCAUAAUUAUAAGUCACUAUUCUAUGGGCUUUGUAAGAGAGGAUGGGUUGUGGAGGCAGAGUCUGUUUGUGGAGAGAUGGAAGAACAUGGUUUCUUUUUGGAUAAGGUUAUGUAUACUUCCCUAAUGAAUGUUUAUCUUAAGGAUAAGAAGAUCAAUAAGGCAAUGAUGGUUUUUUUGAGGAUGCUAAAGAUGGGUUGUGAUCCGGAUACUUUUACUUAUACUGCUUUGAUUCAAGGAAUUUUCAAGAUGGGUCAUUUUGAUAAAGGGUGGAUGUUAUACAAUCAAAUGAAUGAAUCCAGGAUGCUACCUGAUGCAGUCACUUACCAUAUUCUGAUCAGUAAUUAUUGCAAGGCAGGGAAAGUGAUUUGUGCUACAAUGCUUUUGAAUAACAUGGCUUGCUGCAAUUUGGUUCCCAGUGUGCACAGUUAUACAGCUUUAAUGGCUGCACUUUACAAGGAUAAUAGGUUUACUGAAGUUGAUGAAGUGUACAAAAGUAUGCUCAACUGUGGGGUCAUUCCAGACCAUGUGUUGUUUCUUAUUCUCAUGAAGAAUAGCCUGAGGGGGAAUGAGCUUCAACUCUCCCUGUUGAUGUUGCAGGAUAUUCUUAAGCAUGGGUGUGGUUUGGACCCAUCUUUGCUCUCAGGUUCUACUAAUGUAAAUCCAAUGAUAAAUUUGGAACAAGAAAUUGAGUUACUUCUUGAGAAAAUUAUAAGAAGCAACUUGAAUCUAGCUAAUGUGGCCUUCGGUAUCUAUAUAACUGCCUUGUGUGAGAGAGGAAAGAUAGAUGGUGCUUUGUUGUGCUUGAGGAAAAUGAUAGAUGUUGGUUGCAGUCCCUUGCCUUUUACUUUUAACUCCUUGUUCAAAUGCAUUCGCCAGGGUGGGCAUUUGGAGUCUUUUGAACCUCUUAUUGACAUUAUGCAAGAGUGGGGCAUAGUUCCUGACUUGGCAACAUAUUUGAUAAUGGUAAAUGAAUAUUGUAAAUGGAAGGAUCUUACAUCAGCAUUCCAUGUUUUGGAUCAAAUGGAGGAGAGGGGACUGAAACCUAGUGUUGCUAUUUACGACUCCAUUAUAAGUUGUCUAAGCAAGGAAAAAAGAAUGUUUGAAGCGGAAACUUUGUUUCGGAGGAUGCAUGAAGCUGGUGUGGAUCUUGAUGCCACUGUGUACACAACUAUGAUCAAUGGCUACUUCAAGAAUGGACAAGCUUUGGAAGCCCACCAAUUGUUUGAAAAAAUGAUAAAAAAUGACGUUCAGCCAAGUUCACAUACUUACACUGCACUGAUAAGUGGUUUAGUGAAGAGUAACAUGACUGGUAAGGGUUGCAGGUAUCUUGACAGGAUGUUGGGAGAUGGUUUUGUGCCAAAUGCCGUCUUGCACACCUCACUUAUCUAUCACUUCCUGAGGAAGGGGGAGUUUGAGUUUGCCUUCCGGCUUGUUGAUUUGAUGGACAGCAGCCAGAUUGAACUUGACGUUAUCUUUUACAUUGCCCUGGUCAGUGGCCUUUGCAGAAAUAUUGUUGGUAUCAAGAAAAGGUGCAAGAUAAACAGAACAUCUGAGACCAAGAAGGCAAGAGAAAUGCUGCUCCAGUUGCUACAUCAGAGAAAAUUUGUGCCUAGGGAAACCAUUUUAAGAUUUCCUGCUGAUUCUUCUGAACAUAUAAAAUGCUUUGCAUUGGAGCUCAUGCAUAGAAUAAAAAGGACCAAGUUUAUGCCUAAUUUAUACCUCUAUAAUAGUAUAAUUUUUGGAUUUUGUUGGGCAGAUAGGAUUGAGGAUGCUUACAAUGACUUUGAAUUGAUGCAGAAGGAGGGUAUAUGUCCAAAUGAAGUGACUUUUACUAUACUUAUUGGGGCAUACAGUAGAGCUGGUCAAAUUAAUCGUGCUAUAGAGUUGUUUAAUGUGAUGAACGCAGAUGGUUAUAGACCUGAUAAAGUCACAUACAACACUUUAUUGAGAGGCCUUUGCAAGGCUGGUAGAGAGUUAAAUGCUUUGUCUCUCGUAUCUGCAAUGCACAAAAGGGGGUUCCUCCUAAACAAGGCUUCUUAUGAAAAUUUACUCCGCUGUUUCUGUGCUUGUUACUUGAGCAUUCCUGGCUUCAAAAUAUUUGAAGAUAUGCUUGCUCAUAAUUAUGUUCCUCGUCGGUAUACUGCUAACUGGUUGCUUUGCAUCCUAUGUAAAGAAAAGAAGCUGAAUGAAGCCCAUAAGUUGUUGGAUACGAUGCAUAAGAGAGGUAAGUUUCCUGAUGCAUUGACAGGGAGGAUCCUGAAGCAAGCAUCUUAUCUAGAUACUGCCCCAGAAAUGGCGCCAUAAUUCCUUUCACUCAGAGCCUCAAAGUUUGAAUGAGAUGGUUAAAGGAUGGUUUCAUUCUCAGAGACAUCCCUUGCUUAGCUUAUUUUGUUCCAAAUUUACUUGUAAUUCAUCUUCUGUUCUUUUUUAUUCAUCCUUCUUAUUUAUAUUUGGUUGAUGACUAUAAUCUUACUUAUUCAUUUUCUUUCCUUUCAGCCAUACCUUCAUCUGUAACAGAAUAGCCAGUCAUAUGCUAUUUUUCAAGUAUGCAAAUUCACUUCCCUGGUCCUUAACAACUUAGUUUAAUUUGCUGCUCAUUUUACAGUUUUAAAAAUUUUAUUGUGAAGGGAAGCCUUUGCUUUUCUAGAAGAUGUGGUCGUGCAAAAAGUAAGUGAACCAUUAAAUUAAAUGUGUUGCUUGUCUUAAUUCUCUGAGCUUUAUUGCAUUCAGAUUGUUGCCUAGGAAGACAGUCCUAGAGGAGUACAUUUUUGGCCUGCAUGGUUGAGAAAAGGUCUGUUUCAAGCCAGAUCAAUAAAGGAUUGUGACUUUGAGUGGUUUUGUCCUGAUGAAUUAUAUCAUAGCAUUGAUGUUAGGCUUGAUGUUAUCCACUGAGUCACUAAGAUAUGAUGUAUGCAUCAUGGAAAGUACAUCAGAAAUUUGUAAAAAUGGGAAAGCCAAGAAGAUAAAGGCUUUUCAGCCUCAGCGGUGGCCCCCUAGAGAUGCUCCUAUUAGUUGGUAUACAACUGUUGCUCUGGAGAAGAUGAAGCAACAUGGAGCUAUUUAUUUGACUCCUUUUUCACAUCGUUUAGCUGAAGAAAUAAACAACCCUGAAUACCAAGUGCCCUAAGAUUUAAGCCAUAUAUUAUGAAGCUAAGUGAGUCCAUAGUUGAUAAAUUGCAUGCACAAGGUCACUUCAUCUUCAUGGCAAUACACCUUCAUUUCAAGAUGGACAUGCUAGCAUUGGCUGGGUACAGUCUCAUUCAAUCUUCUGUAUUUGUUGAGAAUUAUUGUGCAUUAGCAUAUAUGAAAGGUUGGCCUAAAAUGUGUGUUAUUAUCUGAUAAUUUAACCAGGCACUGUAAGGUUUGCUUCAAGGUAAACUGUCUCCAGAACUCACUGAAGCAUUAGAAGGUUAACUCU